rnacentral:rRNA from 1 species
GUGGGGAAUUUUGGACAAUGGGCGCAAGCCUGAUCCAGCAAUGCCGCGUGCAGGAAGAAGGCCUUCGGGUUGUAAACUGCUUUUGUACGGAACGAAACGGUCCUGGUUAAUACCUGGGGCUAAUGACGGUACCGUAAGAAUAAGCACCGGCUAACUACGUGCCAGCAGCCGCGGUAAUACGUAGGGUGCGAGCGUUAAUCGGAAUUACUGGGCGUAAAGCGUGCGCAGGCGGUGCUGUAAGACAGGCGUGAAAUCCCCGGGCUCAACCUGGGAAUUGCGCUUGUGACUGCAGUGCUGGAGUACGGCAGAGGGGGAUGGAAUUCCGCGUGUAGCAGUGAAAUGCGUAGAUAUGCGGAGGAACACCGAUGGCGAAGGCAGUCCCCUGGGCCUGUACUGACGCUCAUGCACGAAAGCGUGGGGAGCAAACAGGAUUAGAAACCCGUGUAGUCC